UACGUAGGGAGCAAGCGUUGUCCGGAUUUAUUGGGCGUAAAGAGCUCGUAGGCGGUUCUGUAAGUCGGGUGUGAAAACUCCAGGCUCAACCUGGAGAUGCCACUCGAUACUGCGGUGACUUGAGUCUGGUAGGGGAGCACGGAAUUCCUGGUGUAGCGGUGAAAUGCACAGAUAUCAGGAGGAACACCGGUGGCGAAGGCGGUGCUCUGGGCCAGUACUGACGCUGAGGAGCGAAAGCGUGGGGAGCGAACAGG
rnacentral:rRNA from 1 species